rnacentral:rRNA from 1 species
CGCAUCUGUGCAUGCAGCAUAUCAAUAAGCGGAGGAAAAGAAACUAACAAGGAUUCCCUUAGUAACGGCGAGUGAAGCGGGAAGAGCUCAAAUUUGAAAUCUUCAAGGUUUUACCUUGACGAAUUGUAGUUUAAAGAAGUGUUUUCUGUUGAAGUUUUGGUAAAAGUUCUUUGGAAUAGGACAUCAUAGAGGGUGAGAAUCCCGUAUUUGACCAUUAUUUUCAGCUGUGUGAUACACUUUCAAGAGUCGGAUUGUUUGGGAAUGCAGUCCAAAAUGGGUGGUAAAUUUCAUCUAAAGCUAAAUAUUGGCGAGAGACCGAUAGCGAACAAGUACCGUGAGGGAAAGAUGAAAAGAACUUUGAAAAGAGAGUUAAACAGUACGUGAAAUUGUCAAAAGGGAAGCGUUUGACACCAGUGUUGUUUUCUCGAAAAUCAAUUAAAAAGAGUUAGAUUUUGUUGUGUAUUGACCUUAACAGCUUGCAUUUCAAUUUUCUUGCUUUUUUUAAUGCACUUUUCGUUUAACAAGUCAACAUCAGUUUCUUUUGUUGUAAAAAGGUCAUUGGAAGGUGGCUUUCUUUUCGGAGAAAGUGUUUAUAGCCUUUGACUCCUGCAAUCGGAGAGACUGAGGUCUGCAGCGUAGAUCCUUCGGGGUUAGAUACAUUUGUGCUAAGUUAUAGCUUUUUAUAGACAACUUGUUGACUAUGAUUAGUCUUGUAGCUUACUCGCUUAUGCUAUUUUACCUACGCUUAGGAUGUUGACACACGCGCGUGCUCG